UGCGGGGUGGAGCAGUCUGGUAGCUCGUCGGGCUCAUAACCCGAAGGUCGUAGGUUCAAAUCCUUCCCCCGCUA
rnacentral:tRNA from 1 species